CCUACGGGAGGCUGCAGUGGGGAAUAUUGGACAAUGGGGGCAACCCUGAUCCAGCCAUGCCGCGUGUGUGAAGAAGGCCCUCGUGUUGUAAAGCACUUUCAGUGAGGAAGAACGCCUGGUGGUUAAUACCCAUCAGGAAAGACAUCACUCACAGAAGAAGCACCGGCUAACUCCGUGCCAGCAGCCGCGGUAAUACGGAGGGUGCGAGCGUUAAUCGGAAUUACUGGGCGUAAAGCGCGCGUAGGUGGCUUGAUAAGCCGGUUGUGAAAGCCCCGGGCUCAACCUGGGAACGGCAUCCGGAACUGUCAAGCUAGAGUGCAGGAGAGGAAGGUAGAAUUCCCGGUGUAGCGGUGAAAUGCGUAGAGAUCGGGAGGAAUACCAGUGGCGAAGGCGGCCUUCUGGACUGACACUGACACUGAGGUGCGAAAGCGUGGGUAGCAAACAGGAUUAGAUACCCUUGUAGUC
rnacentral:rRNA from 1 species